rnacentral:rRNA from 1 species
AUGUCCGAAGCUCUAUUGAAAUAUGCUCUUUCACAAAUUUAUCUGAACCCACAUAUUUGGGCACAUUCAAGUUACGAAGUACAAACAGAACUUUAUUUGUUUCUAAUACAGUAUUUUGAGACUGAUGGGAAACUAUUACCAAUACUCUGUGGACUCCCUAAGAUCAUUGGCAUUGUAUGCCUUCUAAGCCUUUACUAUAUCUGUAGAGAGGCCACAUAUAGAAGAAAUUCGCGAUAUCCGUUUUCUCCUAUUGAGUCUUGCAGAAAUGAGCCUAAAGUAAGUACUACUUCAUUCGGAGAUACUUUUUGGUGUCUACACUCCAGAACGCUGUGUUUUUCUCUCCAUCUGAACUUCUGGAUCAUUUUCUUAUUAUAA